GACGAACGCUGGCGGCGUGCCUAAUACAUGCAAGUCGAGCGGAUCUUCAUUAGCUUGCUUUUGAAGAUCAGCGGCGGACGGGUGAGUAACACGUGGGCAACCUGCCUGUAAGACUGGGAUAACUUCGGGAAACCGGAGCUAAUACCGGAUAAUCCUUUUCCUCUCAUGAGGAAAAGCUGAAAGACGGUUUCGGCUGUCACUUACAGAUGGGCCCGCGGCGCAUUAGCUAGUUGGUGAGGUAACGGCUCACCAAGGCGACGAUGCGUAGCCGACCUGAGAGGGUGAUCGGCCACACGGGGACUGAGACACGGCCCAGACUCCUACGGGAGGCAGCAGUAGGGAAUCUUCCGCAGUGGACGAAAGUCUGACGGAGCAACGCCGCGUGAGCGAUGAAGGCCUUCGGGUCGUAAAGCUCUGUUGUCAGGGAAGAACAAGUACCGGAGUAACUGCCGGUACCUUGACGGUACCUGACCAGAAAGCCACGGCUAACUACGUGCCAGCCGCCGCAGUAAAAC
rnacentral:rRNA from 1 species